AACGAACGCUGGCGGCAUGCCUAACACAUGCAAGUCGAACGAGACCUUCGGGUCUAGUGGCGCACGGGUGCGUAACGCGUGGGAACCUGCCCUUAGGUUCGGAAUAACUCCCCGAAAGGGGUGCUAAUACCGGAUAAUGUCUUCGGACCAAAGAUUUAUCGCCUUUGGAUGGGCCCGCGUUGGAUUAGCUAGUUGGUAGAGUAAAAGCCUACCAAGGCGACGAUCCAUAGCUGGUCUGAGAGGAUGAUCAGCCACACUGGGACUGAGACACGGCCCAGACUCCUACGGGAGGCAGCAGUGGGGAAUAUUGGACAAUGGGCGAAAGCCUGAUCCAGCAAUGCCGCGUGAGUGAUGAAGGCCUUAGGGUUGUAAAGCUCUUUUACCCGGGAUGAUAAUGACAGUACCGGGAGAAUAAGCUCCGGCUAACUCCGCG
rnacentral:rRNA from 1 species